GGGGCCAUAGCUCAGCUGGGAGAGCGCCUGCUUUGCAAGCAGGAGGUCGUCGGUUCGAUCCCGUCUGGCUCCA
rfam:Rhodoplanes sp. Z2-YC6860, complete genome.